GGGAAAAUGUCUGAUCUGGAAGAGGAGAAUCUGGCCCUACGCUCUGAGGCCUGUCAUCUGAAGAAGGAGACCAUCACCUACGAGGAGAAAGAACAUCAGCUGGUCAGCGACUGUGUCAAGGAGCUGCGCGAGUCCAACAGUCAGAUGGUGAACCUGACAGAGGAGCUGUCCCAUAAGAAUGAGGAGGUGAUGAGACACCAGGAGGAGAUUACCCAGCUCC